UACAGAGGGUGCGAACGUUGCUCGGAAUUACUGGGCGUAAAGCGCAUGUAGGCGGAUCCAUAAGUCGGGCGUGAAAUCCCCAGGCUCAACCUGGGAACUGCGUUCGAAACUGUAGGUCUAGAGUGUCGGAGAGGAUGGCGGAAUUCCUGGUGUAGAGGUGAAAUUCGUAGAUAUCAGGAGGAACACCGGUGGCGAAGGCGGCCAUCUGGACGACAACUGACGCUGAGAUGCGAAAGCGUGGGGAGCAAACAGGAUUAGAUACCCUGGUAGUCCACGCCGUAAACGAUGGGUGCUAGGUGUCUCGGGUAUUGACCCCUGAGGUGCCGUAGCUAACGCGUUAAGCACCCCGCCUGGGAAGUACGGUCGCAAGACUAAA
rnacentral:rRNA from 1 species